CACGCCCUAAACGAUGUCAACUAGUUGUUGGUAGGGUAAAACCUAUUAGUAACGGAGCUAACGCGUGAAGUUGACCGCCUGGGGAGUACGGCCGCAAGGUUAAAACUCAAAGGAAUUGACGGGGACCCGCACAAGCGGUGGAUGAUGUGGAUUAAUUCGAUGCAACGCGAAAAACCUUACCUACCCUUGACAUGUCCAGAAGCCUUGAGAGAUUGAGGUGUGCCUUCGGGAACUGGAACACAGGUGC
rnacentral:rRNA from 1 species